rnacentral:rRNA from 1 species
UACGGAGUGCGCAAGCGCUGCUCGGAAUCACUGGGCGUAAAGCGCGUGCGGGCGGUCGAGUAAGUCGGUUGUGAAAUCCCCAGGCUCAACCUGGGAACUGCAUCCGAAACUGAUCGGCUAGAGCCCCGGAGAGGGAGGCGGAACUCCCAGUGUAGGGGUGAAAUCCGUUGAUAUUGGGAAGAACACCGGCGGCGAAAGCGGCCUCCUGGACGGUGACUGACGCUGAGACGAGAAAGCGUGGGGAGCAAACAGG